GGCCACAUAGCGUAGUGGAUUAGCGUGUUUGACUUUGAAUCAAAAGGCCGUGGUUUCAACUCCUACUAUGGUCA
rfam:Ipomoea nil DNA, scaffold: scaffold2297, cultivar: Tokyo-kokei standard.